rnacentral:rRNA from 1 species
CCCUUAGACGUUCUGGGCCGCACGCGCGCUACACUGAUGCAUUCAACGAGUGUACCUUGGCCGAGAGGCCUGGGCAAUCUUUUGAACGUGCAUCGUGAUAGGGAUAGAUUAUUGCAAUUAUUAAUCUUGAACGAGGAAUUCCUAGUAAACGCAGAUCAUCAAUCUGCAUUGAUUACGUCCCUGCCCUUUGUACACACCGCCCGUCGCACCUACCGAUUGGACGGUCCGGUGAAGCCUCGGGAUUGUGGCGGUUGCCUUUAUUGGUGGCCGCCGCGAGAACUUGUCUAAACCUUAUCAUCUAGAGGAAGGUGAAGUCGUAACA